GACGAACGCUGGCGGCGUGCUUAAAACAUGCAAGUCGAACGGACUUCUCAUGAAGCUUGCAAUUGAGAAGUUAGUGGCGGACGGGUGAGUAACGCGUGGGCAACCUGCCCCUGAGCCCGGGAUAACAGUUCGAAAGGACUGCUAAGACCGGAUAUACUUGCGGGGAAGCAUUUCUCUGUAAGGAAAGGGAACGCUCAGGGAUGGGCCCGCGUCCCAUUAGCUAGUUGGUGAGGUAACGGCCCACCAAGGCGACGAUGGGUAGCCGGCCUGAGAGGGUGAACGGCCACACUGGGACUGAGACACGGCCCAGACUCCUACGGGAGCAGCAGUUGGGAAUCUUCGGCAAUGGGCGCAAGCCUGACCGAGCAACGCCGCGUGAGUGAUGAAGGUUUUCGGAUUGUAAAGCUCUGUCUUCCGGGACGAUAAUGACGGUACCGGAGGAGGAAGCCACGGCUAACUACGUGCCAGCAGCCGCGGUAAGAGUGUGUGUA
rnacentral:rRNA from 1 species